UACGGGGGGGGCAAGCGUUGUUCGGAAUUACUGGGCGUAAAGGGCGCGUAGGCGGUUGGUUAAGUCAGCUGUGAAAACCACGAGCUCAACUUGUGGCCUGCAGUUGAAACUGGCUGGCUAGAGUGUGGGAGAGGGAAGUGGAAUUCCUGGUGUAGCGGUGAAAUGCGUAGAUAUCAGGAGGAACACCGGUGGCGAAGGCGGCUUCCUGGACCACAACUGACGCUGAGGCGCGAAAGCUAGGGGAGCAAACAGG
rnacentral:rRNA from 1 species